rnacentral:tRNA from 1 species
UGGAGUAUAGCUCAGAUGGAUAGAGCACAACACUACGGAUGUUGGUUAGCGCAGGUUCGAGUCCUGCUACUCCAA